GAGGGGCCCGCGCCCGAUUAGCUUGUUGGUAGGGUAACGGCCUACCAAGGCUUUGAUCGGUAGCCGGUCUGAGAGGAUGGCCGGCCACACUGGAACUGAGACACGGCCCAGACUCCUACGGGAGGCAGCAGUGGGGAAUCUUGCGCAAUGGGCGAAAGCCUGACGCAGCGACGCCGCGUGGGGGAUGAAGCCUUUCGGGGUGUAAACCCCUUUCGACCCGGACGAAUGGCCCGCAAGGGAAUUGACGGUACGGGUAGAAGAAGCCCCGGCUAACUACGUGCCAGCAGCCGCGGUAAGACGUAGGGGGCCAGCGUUGCUCGGAAUUACUGGGCGUAAAGGGUCCGUAGGCGGUGCGGCAAGUCGGGGGUGAAAUCUCUGGGCUUAACUCAGAGGCUGCCUCCGAAACUGCCGUGCUCGAGUGCGGGAGAGGCGAGCGGAAUUGCAGGUGUAGCGGUGAAAUGCGUAGAUAUCUGCAGG
rnacentral:rRNA from 1 species